GGAGGAAGGAAGCAGGCUGCCUGGAAUGCAGAGGGGUGCCUGACUUGACACCAUAGGGUUUGAGUUGCAGCAGGGAGUGCUCACUACUUCUGCAAGUGAAGGCAAUGAGAGCUGUGCUUUGACCACAGAGUGCUAUAAAAUGUCAUACCCCUCUGCCUGGGCUACUCAUUGAAGGCAAU